ensembl:lncRNA
UUUUUUUUUUUUUUUAACUGAUUAAAACUACAAAAUCCUGGACAAUAUAGUAACAGAAAAAAUGAAUCAAAUUAUGACAGUCUUCAUUGUGACAUUAUCCUAUGGAAAAUAGUAGUUUACAAGUAAUUUAUGGAUUAAUUAAAAUAAUAAGAUUAUUUACCAUCACAAUAAUUGUGAAAGAUAUCAUUUUGAUGAGUUUUCAAAUGUGUAAAAAGAAUAACAAUGAUUUCAUGAAAGACAUCCAGCUAACAUUGAGUACUCUUUUGAUGAAGAACUAAGAGUCACUUCUAUGUCAGUAUCUCAAAAAAUAGUUGUUUCCAGCAUCCAAACUGUGGUUGCUCACCAUGGACAGACCCAUAAACCAAGCCAGCUGUUUGGCAGAUUUUCAUCUAUGUAAAUCCUUAUGUAAACUAAUUAUAUGGCCACAGCUUAUAAAAUUUAUAAGAAAGCAAUGACUGGACUUGUUUUUCUUAUCAGUUUCACAUAUUGAAACUUAACUGUAGAUGUUGCAAAAUUAAUCACUAGGCCAGGGAGUCUAUAAACUGUACUGUAUUGCAUAGGCAUAUAAAUGCCCAGUCCUUUUUUUUCUGCUUUAAAUACCAGCUUUAGUCCAUUCAUGUUUAGAGUUUGGAAGUAACACACACACCCACACACCCAACACAACCACAUACACCCCGAAGCCUAAAUAAAACCAGUCCACAGUAAAGCCCUUGAAAAUUAUAAGCAUAAACUGCAGCUUUAAGGAUCCAAAUGAAAUAUUCAUAUGUACUAAACAUCUUGUAUCAGGAGGUGGUUUUCUUGAUGUUGUCAUAAGUCAGCCCUUUGCUCCUUGUGCCUGCUUCAAAUACUUUUAUCCCUGGGAGCACGAGGCUUGCUUCAUCCUGCUUGCUUGUCAGCGGGGUUGAUGCACGGCAUUAUAAAAGGAAUUCUCCACAACUGCUGCUCACAGGCAGCACUUUUAGCUCUACACACACAACCUGCAAGGUUCUCUAUCAACAAAUUAUUAUUUAUACAAAGCUUCCCCAGUAAAUUGAGCCUUUCUUUUAUUAUUGCUCAUGUAGAGAAAGCAGCAUUCUCCUCAACAGUGGUAGGAUCUGGACGAGGAAUAUGCCUUGCAGCUCCUGCAUCAUUUCUCCUGGAAGGCAAUGACUUGUAGUCCAGUGCUUAACCGAGGAUGAACUGGCAGAAAGGCAGCCAAUAACUGUGCAUUAUUUACACUGUAGGCAUAUUUUAGUUGCACAGUUGUAUCCUUAAAGCUGCAUCUCCCUUAGCUGAGAGAUUUGUUGCAUUUAACUGGUUUGGCCAAAGCUGCUUCAUGUUCCACAAGCAGCUCUCAGAGACUCCCUGGAAUCAGUAGCUCAGAUUUCUAGAGAGAAAAAAGGCAAGAUUUACUUUGUGACAGAAAUGGGCAGUAGAAGCAUUGGAAAAGACUUGUGACGUAAACUGGAGAUCUGUGUGUAUUGUCUGUUUACUAUAAGAGGCCCUGAAACAGAUGGGGGUACACUAAUGUAAUUAGCACAAAUCAACAAAUAAACCAAAGGAAUUUUAAUAUCUUGGCACAAUUAUUAUUAGUAAUAGUAACAUAAAUUAUUAUUGUCUUUUUUAUGAGUCUGUCUUGUUUGGGUACCCCUACCUAUGAAUGAAAUAGAGUGAGAGUAUUUUUUAUUCUUGUAACCCAUGGCAAAUUUCUCAUGUAAAGGUUUGCAUGGGCACAAAAGCCUCUAAUUUGUGACUAGAUUGUAUUUAACACCAUGCUGAGAGACUUAAUGAAAAGAACAGUAUUAAUUAAAGUAAUAGCAAUAUCUAUUUUCUAUUCAAUUGCAAUGAUGCAUUUUUAAAUCAAUUUGUUGAAUAAAAUACAAAAUUAGGGGUGACAUUUGUAUAAUGAUGGAAUGUUGGUUGUGACAUAUCAAACAGUUUCAUAGGACACUUAACAUACCAAUCCUCUCUUCUCUCAUAUCUCCCACAGCUUCAAACCAAUCAAGUUAGGUCAUUAUACUUUCAAAGGGUGAUUGAUAUAAAUAGAUAUCUGCUAAAAUGUAUAUUGUAUUCUAAUAAGGUUCCCAAAUAUUGGCUUUUGUUUAUUUUGAUGAUUAUUUAAGGAAUAUUAUUUCUAAAUUUAAAGGAAAUUACAAGGGCAACAAACUGAAUUAUUCGUUGCUAUUCUACUAUUGAGAAUUAGAAAACUUCUGGGAGGAAAAUAUUUUGCUUACCAUUGUUACCUUAAAUUAGACAACUGACACAUAGAUAUACAUAUGCCACCACUUACUUGCUGUAAUCUUUGUAGAGUCCUCAGCAGUUCCAAAAGGUAACUUAUCCCCCCUGUUUUGUUAUGCUGAGCAGGCAGGAUAGAUCUCUAACUUUCAAUGCCCAAAAUAAGAUUAAAUUUAUUCCAUGUUAUCAGAUACUGA